GUUACUAUUGUUUGAAGAAACUUUUUUUUAAUCUAAUAUGAAGACAGGCUUAGACCAAUCAUUAUGCUGUAACUUCAGCUUCAACCGAAAAUCCUGUUUAGGGUAGCUGCUAGUCUCACCCCUCCCUGUGCUAACCGCUGAUACACUAUCGGUAGACGUGAAUAGAAGUAUUCAUCUGCGUAGAAGACAUUAUGUGUUUGUUAGCUUCUUUCUUUUGUCAAUCAUCAUAGUUUUUUGGGUGGAUUCUUUACCUUCUAGAGUGUCUCCUUCCGUUACCCCCUUGUAUGCCCAGUCACAGGCUGCUUGAAUUCCUUCGGAUGCGUAUCUAAAAAAGUUUACAGGGGGAAAGCAAUUGGAAGUUAAAUCUGCUUCUUGCUGGCAUGAAGAAGAACCACUUCUAUUCAAAGUUCUUACAUGGUGGAGGUUAGCUUUUCUCGUGUACCAAUGUACUUCGAUGGUGUUACCUCCUUUGUCUGAAGCAUAACUCACAUGUAGAGGCUGUAUUUUACAAUUAUGCCAGUCAGACAUACUCAGAUAAGAAACCAGUUAUCUUGAUCGACUUUUAUAAUACCUGAUGGAUAUCACCCAUGAAAUGGGACACGAAGAGCAGGGCCUCGGUUAAGUUGUCUGGCCACAAGGAAAAAUAGAAACAGAAUAUAAGAGGGAGAUAAAAGAUGAGGAAAUUGGUGAAAAGCAAAAAGAUGGCAACGUUUUAGUACUACAUUGUGACUGAGAUGAAGCUGCAGUUUUGUAGGAAAGAAGCUGUGUGGUGUAGUUGUAAAUGGCUCCCGCAACACAUCUUCCUUUCUCUCCAGAUUCGUCCUUGCAGUCCCCUUUGGACCCGAAACAAAGGAAAUGUGGAGUGUUGAUGUAAUGAAGAGGAGAAGACCAGUGGUAUCUGAACUUGACACGAUCAGCCCAAAGACACAAGCUUGAGAGGUCUCCUUCUGCAGAUUCAGGUAACAGCUCUUUCACGGCCUUUGCUGCUGUUUCAUCCAACCUAGUCUAUUUUUCUCCUUUAAUUUAUUAAAUUAUUACAUACUUAGUUUAUAGUCUGAAAGAAAAAGUAGAUGAAAAAAUCAAAACCUGAGCGAUUUUACAGAUGAUUUCAUGACCUUCUUUUCCCCAUCCAUGGAUAUUAGGUGCUGCAUAAAGAAGCCAAACAGUGAUGAUCAUCAUCACUACAUGUAACCCUUUUUGGUUUGCCAUUUCAGAGUUCUUUGAAAUGUGUGUUGUUGUUUUUGUUUUUAUGAGAUGAGUGAGUUCUCAUUUGGCUCUCUUGUAUAAAUAUGCUGAUAAAGAAUAGAGACGUAUAAGGAAGUAAAUUCCAGAGAUUUAUGUGUUUAGAGAUAUGUGUUGGUGUGUGAAAUGAA